AUAUCAAUACACAAAAGAAAUAUUCUGAAGCGUUUAUAAUUUUACUGAUAUUCAAUUUACUGCUUUCCACCUACAUAAAAUGGCUACAGAAAGGGGAACUCUUUGUGGUGUUUGCACGUCCCUCUCAGUGUCUAGAUCUGCCGACAAAUGGUGUCCUGAAUGUGACGAGGGAUUUUGUUCCACUUGUCUUAGUCAUCAUAAUGUUGCAAAAGCUACACGUGAACAUGAAGUGAUCAAUGUAGAAAAUUAUGAAAAGCUACCUGAUUACGUAUUGAAAAUUCGGCAGACGUGUGAAACUCAUGGAGCAAAGUAUCAAAAUUAUUGUCGUCUGCAUGAACGCCCAUGCUGCCGAAAAUGCAUCGACACAGCAAACAAGAAAUGUCAGGAUCUUCCCCCUUUAGAUGAGGUUAUGUAUACUGCUAAGUCUUCAUUUGUUUUGGAUAACCUGAUGGAACGCAUUGGAAUUCUUAGAAAGUUCUAUUCAUGCGCACAAAAAGUGAUAGAAAAUACUACCAAAGAUCUGAAAAAAAAUGCAAAGAUAUCGAAAAAGAGAUAAAGAAGAUUAGACGAGAAAUCAACAGUCAUUUGGAUACAAUGGAGACGCAAUUACUCCAGAAGCUGUCAGAAAUCGACAGUACAAAUCUACAACGCAGUAAUAAAUGGAUAAAAGAAAUGAUGACGAAAGAAAACAAAAGUGCUAAAUUAGAAGAAAAUCUUCAAACAAUAAAACAGUAUGGAUCCGACAUGCAAGUAUUCCUAGGGGCUAAGCAGAUGGAUAUAGAAGUGAUCGAAGAAGAACGCAAUGUCCUAAAAAUGAGUGAAGAUAGAAAUUUAAGAUUAACUUCGGUAUCAUUUCCAAUUGACAAAGCACUGCAAAAUAUUAUUCAAAAUGUCGAAAAGUUGGGAACAAUUUGCCUAGAAGAAAAACCAAAAUGCGUAGUUUUUCAGAAUUUCAUAAAACAACAAGCCCAAGCUGUAUCAUUAGAAAAUCGUGAUGAACAAGGCAGUUUUCAAGCUUUUCCACAAGUACAAGGGUAUGCAAAGAGUCGCAGUAUGCCGCAACCUGCUGAUUUUCUUACUCACAUUAGAGUUGAUCCACGCUUUAUAAUUAAUACCGGAAAUGGCAUAUUUGCUCUUUACAAUGGCCAAAUGUAUCAAUCGUGCAAUAACGGAUGGAUUCGCACAUCAGGUACAUAUACCAAAAAGAAUCCGUCUCAACAGUAUUAAAGUUUUUAAACUGAAUAUGUCUUCUAAAUCCCUGAUGUUGUAUUAAGGAACGUUUUUGUUUUUAAUAUGAUGCUCUCAUUUGCGAGUGUACCAGUACAUAUAUUAUGUUUGCAUGCUUAAUAUAUACAUCUGCUCUUUGGUCGGGUUGUUGUCUCUUUGACAUAUUCCCCAUUUCCAUUCUCAAUUUUAUCUGUGCGGACAUGAUCUAUCAUUGGUUUGAAAUACUACGGAUAUUUUACCCUAAGAAUGAAUUACAUUUUUUGUACCAUAGCUGUCUUGUAAAACCUUUCGGAAUUUUAGGUCCUAUAUACUCUUGAACUUCUUUAAUUCGAGCGUCACUCAUGAGUCUUGUCGUUUAGCGGUAUGGGUUUGAUCAUUGUUGAAGGUGACCUAAUCAUGGUUGCUAAUUUCUAUGACAUUUAAUCAUUAACAAAUUAUUAAUCAUAUAAUCCAUUCAGUAUCUCAGAAAUGACAAAAAAGAUAUCAAAAACUACAAUAAAGAAAACUUGCUGUCCCAAAUGAAGUAUUAGAAUAUUCUUACCCAUUUAUGAUAAAAAAAAAUUACCUGGAAAUAGGAAAAUACCCCAAAAAGAUUCAUUGCAGGGACUUCUCUUUGAUUGCUAGUGAUCGAUUGUCUUGCAAACUAUUUAAUGCACAAGUAACAGCCAGUUUGGUUUCAUAGAAAAUCACAGAAAGGCAGAUAGUAUUUUUUAUAAUCAAAUCAUAUAAAUUUGAAUUACUAUUAAGUAAACAAAUGAUGACAAAACCCCGUCAUAUGUAUAACAACCUUAUUUGGAAUAUAAUUUAAGGACAUCAAACUUUACGUAUGCAAAAUAGAUAACCAAAAAAAAUCAGUGACCAUAAUCUUAAUAAGUUUAUAGAAAUGACGAAAAGUUUAUAUCCAUAUAGAGGAUUCUGAAUUAAAUUUAACAUGUAUAUAAAUAUCAA